AACGAACGCUGGCGGCAUGCCUAACACAUGCAAGUCGAACGAGACCUUCGGGUCUAGUGGCGCACGGGUGCGUAACGCGUGGGAACCUGCCUUUAGGUUCGGAAUAACUCAGAGAAAUUUGAGCUAAUACCGGAUAAUGUUUUCGGACCAAAGAUUUAUCGCCUUUAGAUGGGCCCGCGUUGGAUUAGCUAGUUGGUGGGGUAAAGGCCUACCAAGGCGACGAUCCAUAGCUGGUCUGAGAGGAUGAUCAGCCACACUGGGACUGAGACACGGCCCAGACUCCUACGGGAGGCAGCAGUGGGGAAUAUUGGACAAUGGGCGAAAGCCUGAUCCAGCAAUGCCGCGUGAGUGAUGAAGGCCUUAGGGUUGUAAAGCUCUUUUACCUGGGAUGAUAAUGACAGUACCAGGAGAAUAAGCCCCGGCUAACUCCGUGCCAGCAGCCGCCGUAAGAC
rnacentral:rRNA from 1 species